rnacentral:rRNA from 1 species
CCUACGGGUGACAGCAGUGAGGAAUAUUGGUCAAUGGACGAGAGUCUGAACCAGCCAAGUAGCGUGAAGGAUGACUGCCCUAUGGGUUGUAAACUUCUUUUAUAUGGGAAUAAAACGUUCCACGUGUGGGAUUUUGUAUGUACCAUCUGAAUAAGGAUCGGCUAACUCCGUGCCAGCAGCCGCGGUAAUACGGAGGAUCCGAGCGUUAUCCGGAUUUAUUGGGUUUAAAGGGAGCGUAGGUGGAUUGUUAAGUCAGUUGUGAAAGUUUGCGGCUCAACCGUAAAAUUGCAGUUGAAACUGGCAGUCUUGAGUACAGUAGAGGUGGGCGGAAUUCGUGGUGUAGCGGUGAAAUGCUUAGAUAUCACGAAGAACUCCGAUUGCGAUGGCAGUUCACUGGACUGCAACUGACACUGAGGCUCGAAAGUGUGGGUAUCAAACAGGAUUAGAUACCCGUGUAGUC